AUUGAACGCUGGCGGCAGGCCUAACACAUGCAAGUCGAGCGGAUGAAGGGAGCUUGCUCCUGGAUUCAGCGGCGGACGGGUGAGUAAUGCCUAGGAAUCUGCCUGGUAGUGGGGGAUAACGUCCGGAAACGGGCGCUAAUACCGCAUACGUCCUGAGGGAGAAAGUGGGGGAUCUUCGGACCUCACGCUAUCAGAUGAGCCUAGGUCGGAUUAGCUAGUUGGUGGGGUAAAGGCCUACCAAGGCGACGAUCCGUAACUGGUCUGAGAGGAUGAUCAGUCACAAGGGAGCUGAAACACGGUCCAGACUAGUACGGGAGGCAGCAGUGGGGAAUAUUGGAGAAGGGGAGAAAGCGUGAUCCAGACAUGCCGCGUGUGUGAGGAAGGUCGUCGGAUUGUAAAGCACUUUUAGUUGGGAGGAAAGGCAGUAAGUUGAUACCUUGCUGUUGUGACGUGACCAGCAAAAUAAGCACAGGCUAACCUCGUG
rnacentral:rRNA from 1 species